rnacentral:rRNA from 1 species
GAUGAACGCUGGCGGCGUGCCUAAUACAUGCAAGUCGAGCGAAUGGAUUAAGAGCUUGCUCUUAUGAAGUUAGCGGCGGACGGGUGAGUAACACGUGGGUAACCUGCCCAUAAGACUGGGAUAACUCCGGGAAACCGGGGCUAAUACCGGGUAACAUUUUGAACCGCAUGGUUCGAAAUUGAAAGGCGGCUUCGGCUGUCAAUUAUGGAUGGACCCGCGUGGCAUUAGCUAGUUGGUGAGGUAACGGCUCACCAAGGCAACGAUGCGUAGCCGACCUGAGAGGGUGAUCGGACACACUGGGACUGGGACACGGCCCAGACUCCUGCGGGAGGCAGCAGUAGGGAAUCUUCCGCAAUGGACGAAAGUCUGACGGAGCAACGCCGCGUGAGUGACGAAGGCUUUCGGGUCGUAAAACUCUGUUGUUAGGGAAGAACAAGUGCUAGUUGAAUAAGCUGACACCUUGACGGUACCUAACCAGAAAGCCACGGCUAACUACGUGCCAGCAGCCGCAGUAA